rnacentral:rRNA from 1 species
UACGUAGGGGGCUAGCGUUGUCCGGAAUCAUUGGGCGUAAAGAGCUCGUAGGUGGUUUGUCGCGUUGUUCGUGAAAACUCACAGCUUAACUGUGGGCGUGCGGGCGAUACGGGCAGACUGGAGUACUGCAGGGGAGACUGGAAUUCCUGGUGUAGCGGUGAAAUGCGCAGAUAUCAGGAGGAACACCGGUGGCGAAGGCGGGUCUCUGGGCCGAUACUGACGCUGAGGAGCGAAAGCGUGGGGAGCAAACAGG